rnacentral:rRNA from 1 species
UACGUAGGGGGCAAGCGUUGUCCGGAAUCAUUGGGCGUAAAGAGCGCGUAGGCGGCCCGAUAAGUCCGCUGUGAAAGUCAAGGGCUCAACCCUUGAAUGCCGGUGGAUACUGUCGGGCUAGAGUCCGGAAGAGGCAAGUGGAAUUCCUGGUGUAGCGGUGAAAUGCGCAGAUAUCAGGAGGAACACCGGUGGCGAAGGCGGGUCUCUGGGCAAUUCCUGACGCUGAGGCGCGAAAGCGUGGGGAGCAAACGGG